GACGAACGCUGGCGGCGUGCUUAACACAUGCAAGUCGAACGGAAAGGCCCUGCUUUUGUGGGGUGCUCGAGUGGCGAACGGGUGAGUAACACGUGAGUAACCUGCCCCUGACUUUGGGAUAACUUCAGGAAACUGGGGCUAAUACCGGAUAGGAGCUCCUGCUGCAUGGUGGGGGUUGGAAAGUUUCGGCGGUUGGGGAUGGACUCGCGGCUUAUCAGCUUGUUGGUGGGGUAGUGGCUUACCAAGGCUUUGACGGGUAGCCGGCCUGAGAGGGUGACCGGCCACAUUGGGACUGAGAUACGGCCCAGACUCCUACGGGAGGCAGCAGUGGGGAGUAUUGCACAAUGGGCGGAAGCCUGAUGCAGCAACGCCGCGUGCGGGAUGACGGCCUUCGGGUUGUAAACCGCUUUCGCCUGUGACGAAGCGUGAGUGACGGUAAUGGGUAAAGAAGCACCGGCUAACUACGUG
rnacentral:rRNA from 1 species